AAGUCGUAACAAGGUUUCCGUAGGUGAACCUGCGGAAGGAUCAUUAUUGAAUAAACUUGAUGUGGUUGUAGCUGGCUCUCUCGGGAGUAUGUGCUCGCCCGUCACCUUUAUCUUUCCACCUGUGCACUUCUUGUAGAUUUGGAUGUAACUGUCCGAGGCAACUCGGUUGGGAGGAAUGUCAUUCUUGGCUUUCCUUGUAUGUCCAGAUCUAUGUUUUCAUAUACUCCAUAAAAAGUAACAGAAUGUAUCACUAGGCCUUGUGCCUAUAAACUAUAUACAACUUUCAGCAACGGAUCUCUUGGCUCUC
rnacentral:misc_RNA from 1 species